UGACAGGGUCCUCCGCUGGGGUUCACAGAGCAGUCUGUGGCGUGCCUACAGAACCGAGCACUGGCUUCGUCUCCCUAAGGGAUGGGGAGCGGGAGGAGUAGGAUGCUGCGGGAGAUGGGGACUCGAGGUUGGUGGGUGUAAAGCGCUCAGAGGAGACUCUAUCCUUAGAAGACAAGACUAAGAGAUGAACAAGAUGCUGCUUACAGACCUGUUGGAGUACUGUGGACACUGAGAAGCUGACGAAGGUUGUAAAGCCGUUAUUGGAGGCCAUUGCAGAGCCAAGAGUUACAAUCUGAAGAGAAUGGGAAGGAAACCUUUCUAGCGCAGACCAUUCAACUCUCGCCUUGAAAGCCAGGUCAGUCCUGCUAGAUCCAUAACUU
rnacentral:sRNA from 1 species